UAAGGUGAUGACAAGUGCUUUACGCAUUUUACAGUGACUAGCUACGGCGAUGCUGUCUACUACGUUAACCAUCUUUCGGGGCUGAUU
rnacentral:snoRNA from 1 species